rnacentral:rRNA from 1 species
GACGAACGCUGGCGGCGUGCCUAAUACAUGCAAGUAGAACGCUGAAGGAGGAGCUUGCUUCUCUGGAUGAGUUGCGAACGGGUGAGUAACGCGUAGGUAACCUGCCUGGUAGCGGGGGAUAACUAUUGGAAACGAUAGCUAAUACCGCAUAAUAGCAGUUGUUGUAUGACAACUGUUUGAAAGGUGCAAUUGCACCACUACCAGAUGGACCUGCGUUGUAUUAGCUAGUUGGUGGGGUAACGGCUCACCAAGGCGACGAUACAUAGCCGACCUGAGAGGGUGAUCGGCCACACUGGGACUGAGACACGGCCCAGACUCCUACGGGAGGCAGCAGUAGGGAAUCUUCGGCAAUGGACGGAAGUCUGACCGAGCAACGCCGCGUGAGUGAAGAAGGGUUUCGGAUCGUAAAGCUCUGUUGUAAGAGAAGAACGAGUGUGAGAGUGGAAAGUUCACACUGUGACGGUAGCUUACCAGAAAGGGACGGCUAACUACGUG